AGCAGCCGCGGUAAUUCCAGCUCCAAUAGCGUAUAUUAAAGUUGUUGCAGUUAAAAAGCUCGUAGUUGAAUUUCGGGGUCAGUAGGUUGGUCGUGCCACUGGUAUGUACUGGCCUCACUGAUUCCUCCCUCUUGUAGAACCGUAAUGCCAUUAAGUUGGUGUUGCGGGGGAACAGGACUGUUACUUUGAAAAAAUUAGAGUGUUUAAAGCAGGCUAACGCUUGAAUACAUUAGCAUGGAAUAAUGAAAUAGGACGUUCGACCCUAUUUUGUUGGUUUCUAGGAUUGACGUAAUGAUUAAUAGGGAUAGUUGGGGGCAUUAGUAUUCAAUUGUCAGAGGUGAAAUUCUUGGAUUUAUUGAAGACUAACUACUGCGAAAGCAUUUGCCAAGGAUGUUUUCAUUAAUACUAAGAACG
rnacentral:rRNA from 1 species